AUGAGGGAGCUGGUCUCCUCCUCCUCCUCCUCCGCGGCCCUCGUCGCCGCGGGCAACGCGGCGCUCCGGGGAUGGUGGGAGGAGGUCAACGAGUCGCCAGCGUGGCAGGACGGCGCCUUCUUCUCCCUCACCGCCGCCUACGCCCUCGUCUCCGCCGUCGCGCUGAUUCAGCUGGUGAGGAUCCAGCGCAGAGUGCCCGAGUUCGGCUGGACCACGCAGAAGGUGUUCCACCUCAUGAACUUCGUCGUCAAUGGGGUUCGUGCCGUCGUAUUCGGAUUCCAUGCUUAUGUCUUCCUCCUCCAAACAAAAGUUUAUAAGUUGGUGUUACUAGACCUCCCCGGCUUGUUGUUCUUCUCGGCCUACACCUUACUUGUUCUUUUCUGGGCAGAAAUAUACCAUCAGGCUAGGAGUCUCCCCACCGAUAAGUUGAGAAUUAUAUACCUAGCCGUUAAUAGCAUCGUAUAUGCAAUUCAGAUCUGUAUUUGGGUGUACCUUGGAAUAAACGACAAUGCGUUGGUUGAGCUGGUGAGCAAAAUCUUCAUCGUAUCUGUCUCCGCUGUGGCCCUUCUUGGUUUCGCAGUAUAUGGUGGAAGGUUGUUUGUCUUGCUGAGACGUUUCCCCAUUGAAUCGAAGGGGCGAAAAAAGAAGCUUUAUGAGGUUGGGACUGUGACGACAAUCUGCUGCACCUGUUUCCUGAUAAGAUGCAUCGUGGUGGCAGUAUCUGCAUUUGAUGCUGAUGUUUCUUUGGAGGUUUUAGAUCAUCCAAUCCUAGAUUUCUUCUAUUAUAUGUUGACAGAGAUACUGCCUUCCGCGCUGGUCCUUUUCAUCCUUCGGAAGCUUCCACCUAAGCGAGUAUCGGCGCAAUAUCACCCUAUUAACUAG
rnacentral:rRNA from 1 species